GAUGAACGCUGGCGGCGUGCCUAAUACAUGCAAGUCGAGCGAACAGAUGAGGAGCUUGCUCCUCUGACGUUAGCGGCGGACGGGUGAGUAACACGUGGAUAACCUACCUAUAAGACUGGGAUAACUUCGGGAAACCGGAGCUAAUACCGGAUAAUAUAUUGAACCGCAUGGUUCAAUAGUGAAAGACGGUUUUGCUGUCACUUAUAGAUGGAUCCGCGCCGCAUUAGCUAGUUGGUAAGGUAACGGCUUACCAAGGCAACGAUGCGUAGCCGACCUGAGAGGGUGAUCGGCCACACUGGAACUGAGACACGGUCCAGACUCCUACGGGAGGCAGCAGGAGGGAAUCUUCCGCAAAGGGCGAAAGCCUGACGGAGCAACGCCGCGUGAGUGAUGAAGGUCUUCGGAUCGUAAAACUCUGUUAUUAGGGAAGAACAAAUGUGUAAGUAACUAUGCACGUCUUGACGGUACCUAAUCAGAAAGCCACGGCUAACUACGUG
rnacentral:rRNA from 1 species